UGCUGAUUCUAGUAUCUUCA
rnacentral:piRNA from 1 species